AAAAUGCAUAGAAUCAUUGCUGCGGUUAAAAAGCUCGUCGUUGGAUCUGUGCUGGCGACGUGGUCUGCCCUCGCGGGUGGUACUGCGCUCGUCGGCUUUGGGCCGGUCUCCGGGCGGUGGCCUUCACUGGUCGUCGUUCGUGGCUGGCUGGUUUACUUUGAGCAAAUCAGAGUGCUCAGCACAGGCGUCUCGCCGGAAUGUUCGUGCAUGGAAUAAUGGAAAAGGAUUUCGGUCCUCUUUUAUUGGUUUUGUGGACUGAGAUAAUGGUUAACAGAGACGGACGGGGGCAUUCGUAUUGCUGCGUGAGAGGUGAAAUUCUUGGACCGCAGCAGGACGGACUACAG
rnacentral:rRNA from 1 species